GUCCAACCGGACCCAUAACUUAAAAGGGGCCGAGCCAUCUCCUUCCCCAUUCAGCUAAAGAGCACGCUGAAUACAGCAAGGGGGAGAGGAGAGCUCCAAACCCUCAUCAACCCUUUAAUCCACCAUAACUUUCCCGUUUGAGCUCCGAUCACCGCACCGUUUGCGGCCACGUGUCCAGCGCGUCGAGCUCUACGUUUUCAUUGGAUCAAUUCUACGGGUUUGUUUUAGCUUGCGGAGCUUAUCGGGUUUGAGUUGCUCUGCGCGUGGGUAAGGUGGUAUGUUAUAAUUGGAACUUGGCAUUGUGGACACUUGGAGGCUUGGUGGAUGAUUGGUGCUGAGAUUUUGGUUGAUUUCUCAAGCUUGAGGGGCUGUGUGUGUGUGACUUGUGAGGUUGCCUUGGACUAAACGGGGUGCUCGGCCAAGAUGCAGGUCGAGAGGCUCAUCGCUAGGCGUCUGGAUCCCUGAAGCGGAGCGGUUCCUAGGUUUUUGUGUUUAUCAACUUAUGUAUAUAUGUACUUAGCUUUCUCUCCAAGAAACUUCUUUAUUUUAUUCCUCUUAGAGGCUUAAGGAGAGUUAGGGUUUUUCUAUAUAUUUUGGGAUAUGUAUAUAUGUUUGUAAAUAUUCUCCGGCCAGCCUUGGCUUCGCAGGCUAAGUUAGGAGCUUGUUACUUUGUAUAUUUGAUCCUCUAUUCCCAGUUUUGUUAUCUUUCACUUGUU